UGUGCAGACUCAGGACAACUGAGCUUUGGAGGAAUACGCAGAUUUAAAGAGGCAUCCGUAAUUUGCUUUCUAAUGAUCUUUCCUUCAAAGAAGUUCAUGAAUUUAUUACUGAGAGAGAUGAUGUAGGCGAUCAUGGCCCGAUCCAUGUGGAACGAAGAGGACUGUAGUUCGAACACCAGAGACAACUGAGUGAGGAACCCCUUGCAUCCUCCCAGGUGGCCGUCAUACCGCUCGGGGGCUGGAAUCUUGGGUUCCCGGUGCAGGUUCCCUGGAGGAACUACGACGACGCCUGUAGAACUGGGUGAUGAGACUUGGACAUCGGCUCCUCCUGGGUUGAGGUUGGACUGUGGUUGGAGGGAGUCGAACAAGGUCAGUUGUGGAGCGCACCAUCGGACUGCUGAAGGGCAGGUGGCGUUGCAUUGAUUCAUCAGGUGGAAAACUCCUCUACAAACCAGAAGGUGAUACGCAUAAUACUGGCAUGUGGUGUGCUCCACAACAUAGCCCUGAAGCAUGGUAUUGAAAUGUAUGCAGAGAUUAGAAUGGACCCCCAAGAGCCUCCUAACCCACCACCCAAUGGAGCACCUGCCCCGGCUGAUGCAGUGAGGAAGAGGCGGCAGCUCAUAGAGAUUGGUGGAUGAGGCGGUGAACUGUGGACUCAGACGUGGAAGCACCCUCACUCCUGGCACCUGCUGAUUUGAAAACCUCACGCACUUUAUCCCUGGGUGUAGGGUGCACGGGCUGCAAUGCAGCUUCCCUUGGUGGAGGGGGCACGGGCUGCAAUGCAGCUUCCCUUGGUGGAGGGGGCACGGGCUGCAAUGCAGCUUCCCUUGGUGGAGGGGGCACGGGCUGCAAUGCAGCUUCCCUUGGUGGAGGGGGCACCUUCUCUUCAUUACAUUCUCUUAAUUACUUACCGUGAUCCAGUCAUGCAGUCGUGGGAGUUUUGCGCACCGACUUUCCGAUGUUACUGCUAAAGAUGUAAAAGUUGGUAUUAAACCAUAUGAAAAAUAAAAAACAUAAUAGAAGAAGCUCGCCUUUUUUUAAACAUUCACUGUCGCGGUCAGAUCAUGUGCCAGUGUAUGUGCUUUCUCCGAUGCGCUGGUCUAUUUGGGAGCGCUCCGCCGUGAUCUCGUCUUCCAAUAAGUUUGCUUUUCUCUUUUGGUCCAUGGCUUUUCCAUUGCUCAUCCAUAUUUAAGUAUACAUAUUCAUUCCUUUACACUUGUAU